UACGGGGGGAGCAAGCGUUGUUCGGAUUUACUGGGCGUAAAGGGCGCGUAGGCGGUCGUGACAAGUCACUUGUGAAAUCUCCGGGCUUAACUUGGAAACUGCCAUUGAUACUAUAGAUCUUGAAUAUCGUGGAGGUCAGCGGAAUAUGUCAUGUAGCGGUGAAAUGCUUAGAUAUGACAUAGAACACCAAUUGCGAAGGCAGCUGGCUACACAUAUAUUGACACUGAGGCACGAAAGCGUGGGGAUCAAACAGG
rnacentral:rRNA from 1 species